rnacentral:rRNA from 1 species
AGAGUUUGAUCCUGGCUCAGGAUGAACGCUGGCGGCGUGCUUAACACAUGCAAGUCGAACGAAGCACUUAACUUGAUUUUCUUCGGAAAUGAUUGUUCUGUGACUGAGUGGCGGACGGGUGAGUAACGCGUGGGUAACCUGCCUCGCACAGGGGGACAACAGCUGGAAACGGCUGCUAAUACCGCAUAAGCGCACAGCUUCGCAUGAAGCAGUGUGAAAAACUCCGGUGGUGUGAGAUGGACCCGCGUCUGAUUAGCUGGUUGGUGAGGUAACGGCCCACCAAGGCGACGAUCAGUAGCCGACCUGAGAGGGUGACCGGCCACAUUGGGACUGAGACACGGCCCAAACUCCUACGGGAGGCAGCAGUGGGGAAUAUUGCACAAUGGGCGAAAGCCUGAUGCAGCGACGCCGCGUGAGCGAAGAAGUAUUUCGGUAUGUAAAGCUCUAUCAGCAGGGAAGAAAAUGACGGUACCUGACUAAGAAGCUCCGGCUAAAUACGUGCCAGCAGCCGCGGU